rnacentral:rRNA from 1 species
UACAGAGGUCCCGAGCGUUGUUCGGAUUCACUGGGCGUAAAGGGUGCGCAGGUGGCUUGGCAAGUCGGAUGUGAAAGCUCCGGGCUCAACCCGGAAAUGGCAUUGGAAACUGCCUGGCUGGAGGUUUGGAGGGGGGACUGGAAUUCUCGGUGUAGCAGUGAAAUGCGUAGAGAUCGAGAGGAACACCAGUGGCGAAGGCGGGUCCCUGGACAACACCUGACACUGAGGCACGAAAGCUAGGGGAGCAAACAGG